CACUUGCUCGUUUGCAUUUCUGAAAAAUGUAUACGCAAAAACCAAAAUCAGAAAUUCUUUUGAGCAAGUGUG
rnacentral:pre_miRNA from 2 species